CCUACGUAUUUAAUCGAUUUUUCCCGAUUCCUUCUCAUUUUUCCCCGAUCCUUCGUUCCUUUCUCCGAUUUUGCUCCUCCAACCCCUUCAUCGCCGGCGUUGGUCCACACCACCACGCCGAUCUCCACGAGCUCAUCGUCGGGCAGCAGUCUUUCCUUCCGCGUGCUCCACCGACGCCCUCUUCUCCCUUCCUCUCUCUUGUGUCUCUGCCCUAGAUCGCCGACGGAGAGGUUUCUUCCACCGCGAUCUCACCUUCACCCGUCGUCGUGGCACCUUGUCUGUGAGAUACCGGCACCUAUAGCUACCAGCCAUCGACGCCGCCGUUCUUGUUCGUUGCCACUUCCCAUCUCUAACUCCUUUUCCCAUCUCGAGCCCUAGCUACCAUCACUGGGAUCGAGUCCAGCGGAUCGUUCCAAGCUGCUGAGUGUCGCCUGAGCGCCACCUGAGCGCCACCUGAGCGCUGCCUAUCCAGUACCUUGUUCUCGAUCUUCCAUCCGCGGCCUCUCCCUCACGGUGACAUUGGGUGCGUGUUCCCAUGAUCCAGCGAUUGCCUGGAUUCAUUCGCGACUGAUCUGUUCCCAUGGGCGCAGACGUCGUCUCUGAUUGUGCCCGCCAGCAGAUCCACUCUGUUGAUAGAUGUCUUGGAUUUGGGUGAUGGUGUGGGCAGCAGUAAGUAUUACCCCUGAUUUCCAGCAGUAGGGUUGCUUCGAUCACAAACUAACAGUGGAGUGCAAUGGAAUUGGGUUUGGUAUCAAUAGGAUUGACCUGUUGGAUGUGAGAGUAAUCCAUGGAAAGUAAGACUGAUUAUUUUUUGUGUACUGUUUUUGUGUUCUUGGAUGAUGAUAUUGUGGUGCAGCGGGAUCUCACAGCAUUGUGGAAAAUUGAUAUCGAUGGGAAGGUGAAUGGAGCAGUUGAGACAUGCUUUGGGGCUUUUCAUCAUUAUUCACAGCAUAUAAAUUUCUCACACCCUUGAUCAAAGUUAAGUGGAAUUUAGUGGGCAACUUUUAUUUUGUUAUGUGUAGAAUUCACAAUAGCUCAGCUGAAUUCCAAAUUUUCUCAACAAAAUUGGUUGGUUCAUUAAUCUGUACAAGAGAAGCAAUUUAGCUCAUGAAAUUCGAAGACAGGGAGAGCAAAAAGAA